rnacentral:tRNA from 1 species
UGGGGUUGUGGCUCAGUGGUAGAGUGCUUGCCUAGCAUGUGUGAGGCAUUGGGCUCAAUUCUCAGCACCACAA